UUAUAAAUUAAAACCUCCUUAUCAAUGUUUGAUCUCGUCAGAUCUCAGAAGCUAAGCAGGGCUGGGCCUGGUUAGUACUUGGAUGGGAGACCACUCGGAAUCAUCAAUGUAAGUGUUGGU
rnacentral:rRNA from 1 species